rnacentral:rRNA from 1 species
UAUACGACCGUACCGCAAACCGACACUGGUGCGCGAGAUGAGUAUUCUAAGGCGCUUGAGAGAACUCAGGAGAAGGAACUCGGCAAAUUGACACCGUAACUUCGGAAGAAGGUGUGCCCUAUUAGUGUGUAGUGGACAACGAAGCAUGAAUGGGUUGCAAAAAAUCGGUGGCUGCGACUGUUUAUUAAAAACACAGCACUCUGCAAACACGAAAGUGGACGUAUAGGGUGUGACGCCUGCCCGGUGCUGGAAGAUUAAAUGAUGGGGUGCAAGCUCUUGAUUGAAGUCCCAGUAAACGGCGGCCGUAACAAUAACGGUCCUAAGGUAGCGAAAUUCCUUGUCGGGUAAGUUCCGACCUGCACGAAUGGCGUAACGAUGGCCACACUGUCUCCUCCUGAGACUCAGCGAAGUUGAAAUGUUUGUGAUGAUGCAAUCUCCCCGCGGAAAGACGGAAAGACCCCAUGAACCUUUACUGUAGCUUUGUAUUGGACUUUGAACAGAUCUGUGUAGGAUAGGUGGGAGGCUUUGAAGCAGGGUCUAGAUCUUGUGGAGCCAACGUUGAAAUACCACCCUGGUGUGUUUGAGGUUCUAACCUAGGUCCAUUAUCUGGAUCGGGGACAGUGCAUGGUAGGCAGUUUGACUGGGGCGGUCUCCUCCCAAAGCGUAACGGAGGAGUUCGAAGGUACGCUAGUUACGGUCGGACAUCGUGACGAUAGUGCAAUGGCAUAAGCGUGCUUAACUGCGAGACUGACAAGUCGAGCAGAUGCGAAAGCAGGACAUAGUGAUCCGGUGGUUCUGUAUGGAAGGGCCAUCGCUCAACGGAUAAAAGGUACUCUGGGGAUAACAGGCUGAUACCGCCCAAGAGUUCAUAUCGACGGCGGUGUUUGGCACCUCGAUGUCGGCUCAUCUCAUCCUGGGGCUGUAGCCGGUCCCAAGGGUAUGGCUGUUCGCCAUUUAAAGAGGUACGUGAGCUGGGUUUAAAACGUCGUGAGACAGUUUGGUCCCUAUCUUCCGUGGGCGCUGCAGAUUUGAGGAAGCCUGCUCCUAGUACGAGAGGACCGGAGUGGACACACCUCUGGUGUAUCGGUUGUCACGCCAGUGGCAUUGCCGAGUAGCUAAGUGUGGAAGAGAUAACCGCUGAAAGCAUCUAAGCGGGAAACUCGUUUCAAGAUGAGAUCUGCCGGGGCCUUGAGCCCCCUAAAGAGUCGUUCAAGACCAGGACGUUGAUAGGUCAGGUGUGGAAGCG